rnacentral:rRNA from 1 species
CCUACGGGAGACAGCAGUCGAGAAUCAUUCACAAUGGGGGAAACCCUGAUGGUGCGACGCCGCGUGGGGGAAUGAAGGUCUUCGGAUUGUAAACCCCUGUCAUGUGGGAGCAAAUUAAAAAGAUAGUACCACAAGAGGAAGAGACGGCUAACUCUGUGCCAGCAGCCGCGGUAAUACAGAGGUCUCAAGCGUUGUUCGGAAUCACUGGGCGUAAGGCGUGCGUAGGCUGUUUCGUAAGUCGUGUGUGAAAGGCGCGGGCUCAACCCGCGGACGGCACAUGAUACUGCGUGACUAGAGUAAUGGAGGGGGAACCGGAAUUCUCGGUGUAGCAGUGAAAUGCGUAGAUAUCGAGAGGAACACUCGUGGCGAAGGCGGGUUCCUGGACAUUAACUGACGCUGAGGAACGAAGGCCAGGGGAGCGAAAGGGAUUAGAUACCCGAGUAGUC